rnacentral:rRNA from 1 species
UACGUAGGGGGCAAGCGUUAUCCGGAUUCACUGGGUGUAAAGGGAGCGCAGGCGGUACGGCGAGUCUGAUGUGAAAACCCGGGGCCCAACCCCGGGACCGCACCGGAUACUGCCGGACUCGAGUGCCGGAGGGGCAGGCGGAAUUCCUGGUGUAGCGGUGAAAUGCGCAGAUAUCAGGAGGAACACCGGUGGCGAAGGCGGCCUGCCGGACGGUAACUGACGCUGAGGCUCGAAAGCGUGGGGAGCGAACAGG